UUGCCUUUAGCACAAAGUAUUAAAGGUAACGCCUGCCCAGUGAUAAAUUAAACGGCCGCGGGAUCCUCACCGUGCAAAGGUAGCAUAAUCACUUGUCCCCUAAAUAGUGACUAGUAUGAACGGCCAAAUGAAGAUUUUACUGUCUCUUAUAGCCAAUCUAUGAAACUAAUCUAUCAGUACAAAAGCUGAUAUAUUAACAUAAGACGAAAAGACCCUGUGGAACUUUAAGCACAACCCACAAUAAUGGACCACCUGCUUUUAGUUGGGGCAACUUUGGAAAAAAACAAAACUUCCAAUAAAAUUAAAGAUUAACACAUCUAUAUUAUAUUAUACCCGACCCAACACAUGUUGAUCAAAGAACCAAGCUACCCCAGGGAUAACAGCGCCAUCCCCUCUUAGAGCCCAAAUCGACGAGCGGGGUUUACGACCUCGAUGUUGGAUCAGGGCCCCCAAACAGUGCAACAGCUGUUAACGGUUUGUU
rnacentral:rRNA from 1 species